GAUUGAAUGAAGAACAUCACUCUAGGUAGAUGAUGCUACAGGUCCACGUGACAGAACACUGAAGGCUGGACAAACUGGAGAGUCUUAUCUUCCUAUGGGCUUCACUCAAGAUUAGCAGAUUUCUGAGUCAACGUGGUAAAUGGGUCUGUUCUGAAUUGUAUAUCCAAAGUGGUAUAGAAUGGAGAGGAAGGGUGUGGCUUCCAGCCAGAAAAGGAGUGACCAGAUAUGCUGCUAAAGAACAUGAUGAAGAUGGAGAGCAAAGAUGGAUGAGAAGA